rnacentral:rRNA from 1 species
UACGUAGGGGGCAAGCGUUGUCCGGAUUUAUUGGGCGUAAAGAGCGUGUAGGCGGCCAGACAGGUCCGUUGUGAAAACUCGAGGCUCAACCUCGAGAUGUCGAUGGAAACCGUCUGGCUAGAGUCCGGAAGAGGAGUGUGGAAUUCCUGGUGUAGCGGUGAAAUGCGCAGAUAUCAGGAGGAACACCGGUGGCGAAGGCGGGACUCUGGGCCGAUACUGACGCUGAGGAGCGAAAGCGUGGGGAGCGAACAGG